UACGUAGGGUGCGAGCGUUAAUCGGAAUUACUGGGCGUAAAGGGUGCGCAGGCGGUUCUGCAAGUCAGGCGUGAAAUCCCCGGGCUUAACCUGGGAACUGCAGUCGAGACUGCUUUGCUUGAGUAUGGGAGAGGGAGGUGGAAUUUCCGGUGUAGCGGUGAAAUGCGUAGAUAUCGGAAGGAACAUCAGUGGCGAAGGCGACCUCCUGGACCAAUACUGACACUCAAGUGCGAAAGCGUGGGGAGCAAACAGG
rnacentral:rRNA from 1 species